CAUUACCCUUAUCAAAGUUGCAGCUUCCACAUAGCUGCUGUGGUCAAAAAGGAGCCCAGAGUGACAGUUUUCCUUGAGGGUUGCCAUUUUGUUCGCUGUAACUGAUCUGCAACAUUUCGGGAAAAUACAGUU
rnacentral:snoRNA from 1 species